CCUCCCCUCAUCAUCAUGGUCAUCAUCACCUCCACCAGGUCACUGUCUCCAAGAUCUCCUCCUCCUUCAUCGGGAAAAGCUGGGUGAGGCUGCGGGGGUCUCGGUGACGGAGGUGGGGGCGGGGGCGUGUCCUGAGGGGGCGGCAGCUGGAUGUGCAGGCGGGUGUGUGCUGCGGGCGGGGCUCAGCGAACACUUUGUCUUGGUGGCCGCAAACACCUCGUCCAUCGUGGGGCCGCAGCUCAGCCUCCGCCCGGCCUGCAGCUGUGGGGCAGCGGCGGCGGCGGAGGAGGGGGAGGAAGAAGAGGAGCAGAAGAAGAAAUAACACAACCACACACACACACACA